rnacentral:lncRNA from 1 species
UUUUUUUUUUUUUUUAAUAAUCAGACUUCUAGUUUCUAGUUCAGCCUAUAAGAAUCUAUAAGUAGCCACUCCAUCCUAACAAGUGAAAGGCUGAACAAACUAAAAAAUCAGCAACUCUUCUUACAUCGAUCAGAGAUGUAAGAUCUCAGGGAAAACUGCUGCCUCCAAAAUUGAAGAGAACAAUAAGCAGAUACAAUGAAUCACAACUUACACAGCAGAAAUCCACAAACUGAAGCAUCCUUAGGAACCAGUCAUGGUAGGAAAACCUGAACCAUAAUUGAGGAAUUGCUAGAGGCUCAGCAUGAACAAGUAUGAGUGAUAAGAAUGACAGGAGAACCCAGCCACUAGGGAUGGGGGAGGAGGGCACAUUUUGUGAUUUUUACUUCCUGUAAUGCUAUCAGGUUCUUGCAGUGAAUAUCAGGGGGAAAAAAAUCCGUUGUGCUUCUGGAAGAGAGAAGAAAAAAGAAACCAUUUUGAAACACAUCAAAGCAUUCUGUUCCUCUAAACAAGGUCUGUCCUCUGGAGAAAAUAGUUAGAGCCAGAGCCUAACCUGUGAUGGUUUUAUCACAGCCUAAUGAUCUGAGGGAAGGGAAAUAACCAACUCCCCAAAGUGAGAAACACAUGUGAAGUUCACAGUCAAGAGGCACAAGCUCACUAAAAGUCUGAGACCUAAUCCAUUAUUAGACUAUAGAAUGGUCCCCUUGCCCCCACACCUUACAACCACAUUAUUAAAGGAUUAUUCACAGGAGAUUCUUUUACCUGGUAUAUCACAUCUGGCUCUCAAGAAAAAAUUAUAAGUCAUACAAAGGCAAAAAACACAGUUUGAAGAGAUAGAGCAAGCAUGAAAAUCAGAGUCAGAUACAGCUGGGAUGUUGGAAUUAUCAGAUCAAGAAUUUAAAACAACUGUGGUUAAUACAUGAAGACUACUAGUUGUUCUACUAGAACUCCUACUACUUACAUGACAAUGUAAGCAGAGAGUCGGACAUUCUAAGAAAGAACCAAAAAUAAAUUAAACACCCAAUAAUAGAAAUGGAGAAUAUCUUUGCUGGGCUUUUAAGUUGACUGGAUAUGGCUGAGGAAAGAAUCUCUGAACUUGAGGUUAUUGCCAUAGAAAUCUCCCAAAAUAAAAAAUAAACAGAAAAACAACCAAAAGAAAGAAAGAACAAAUGAAAGAACAAAAUUUACCUAAGGGCUGUGGGACAAUUACAUGAGCAUAUGCAUAAUGUAAUAUAUAAAAAAUAGGAAUUCCAGAAGGAGAGAAACAGAAGAACUAUCUGAAACAAUGAUAACAGAGAAUCUCCCUCAAUAAAUGUCACAUAUCACACCACAGAUCCAGGAAGCUCAGAGAACACCAAGCAAGGCAAGUGCAAAGCAAAAACAAAUAACACAUAGGCAUCAUUUUACACUGUAGAAAGUCUAAGGUAAAGAAAAAUUCCUAUAAGAAGCUGAGGAUGAGGAAACUUAACCUAUAGUGGAAUAAAGGUAAGAAUUACAUCUGACUUCUCCUCAGAAACCAUGCAAAUAAGAGUAGAGUGAAAUAGUUAAAACAGAGGAAAAAAACCCCACCAACCUAGACUCUACCUUCAAAAGUGAGAGUGCGAAAUAAGACAUUCACAGACAAACAAAAAUUGAGGGAAUCUGUUACUAAUAAACCUGCCUUGCCACAAAUGUUAAAAUAAAUUCUUUAGAGGGAAGCAAAAUAAUAGAGUUCAGAAACUCAGAUGUACAUAAAGAACUAAAGCAUCAGAGAAGGAAUAAGUAGGGGCACCUGAGUGGCUCAGUCACUUGGGUGUCCAACUUUUGAUUUCGGCUCAGAUCAUGAUCUUAGGGUCUUGAGAUUAAGUCCCACUUUGGGCUGCAUGCUGAGCACAGAAUCUGCUUGAGGUUCUCUCUCUCCCUCUCCUCCCUGCUCUGCUCACAUGUGCUCUCUCUCUAAAAAAAAGAAAGAAAGAAAGAAAGAAAGAAAGAAAGAAAGAAAGAAAGAAAGAAAGAAAGAAAGAGAAAAAGAGAAAGGAAUAAAGGUAAAAUAAAAAAUUUUGUCUUAUUCUUAAUUGCUCUAAGAGGUAAUGACUUAUUCAAAAUAAUAAAAGCAAUAAUGUAUCUGAUAAUGUAUAUAUAUAUAUACAUAAAAGAGAUAGAAUAUGUACACUUAUAUGUAAGUUAAAUGAAUGAUGAUGACACAAGAAAUAAGAGGGUGGUUUUAGGACUAUUUUGUUAUAAAGCACUUACACAAUCUAUGAAGUGAUAUAAUGUUGUUUGGAAGUGGACUUGAAUUAAUUGUAAAUGUAUAUUGUAAAUUCAAGGGCAAUGACUAAAAAUAGUAAAAAAGAGUAUGACUAAUAUUGCUAAAAAGAUAGAGGAAAGCAAAUAAAAAAUGCUCAAUGAACCACAAAAGGCAGGAAAAAAAUAGGAGACAAAGAGCAAAAGCAACACAUGCAAAUCAGCAAAGAUAUGGUCAAUAUUAAUCCAAUUAUAUCAAUAAUCACUUUGAUUGUCAAUGACCUAAAUGUACCAAUUAAAAGGCAGAGAUUGUAAUAGUGUAUUAAAAAACUUGACUCAACUAUAUGUAGUUACAGAAACCACACUUUAAAAAUAAAGACACAUCCAGAUGAAAAGUAAAGAGAUAGAGACCUAACAUGCUAACAUGAAUCAAAAGGAAGUAGGAGUAGCUAUAUUAAUUUUAGACACAGGGAGCUUCAGAGCAAGAAAACUUAUCAGAAAUAAGUAAGGGCAUUACAAAGUGUUGGAAGAAUUCAAGAAGAUGUAACAAUCCUUAGUGGCAUGUGCCUAAUAUCAGAGGCUAAAAAAUGUAUAAGGCAGAAACUGAAAGAACAACAAGAAGAAAUAGACGAAUCCACUAUUAUAGUUGGAAAUAUCAACACUCCUCUCUCAGAAAUAGGUCCUAAGUGCAGCAAGUCAGUAAGGACAUAGUUGAACUCAAAGCUAAUGUAAUCAACUGGAUAUAACUGGUGUCUGCCGACUACUUCGUCCAAGAACAGCAGCAUAAACAUCUCAAACUCACGUGAAAAAAUUCACAAAGAUAGACCACAUUUAGGGCCAUAAACUUAAAAUAAUACAAAUCAUACAGUGUCUGCUCUCAGGCCGCAGUGGGAAUUAAACUAGAAAUCAGUAGCAGAACGAUAGCUGCAAAAUUCUCAAAUAUGUGGACAUUAAAAAAUACACUGCUACGUAACGCAUGGCUCAAAGAAAACAUCUCAAGAAAAAUAAAAUAGAAUUUAGAGCCAACUAAAAAUGAAAACACAAUUUAUCAAAAUUUGUGGGAUGAAAUGAAAGCAGUGCUUAGAGGAAAAUGUAUAGUCUUUUUCUGGUUGUGAUAUGUGGUAUUGGGUGGGGGCAGGCAGAGAUAAUAGAGUACAGAGGGUUUUCAGGACAGUGAAAUAAUGAUGGAUACAUGUCAUUAUAUAGUUGUCCAAAUCCAUAGAAUGUAUAACACCAAGAGUGAACUGUAAGGUAAACUACGGAUUUCAGAUGAUUAUGAUGUGUCAAUGCAGGUUCACCCUUGGCAAAAAUAAAUAAAUAAAAAUAAAAAAUAAAAAUAAAACAACAACAAAAAAUUUUUUACUGAGUCCUGUUGGGGUGGAAAUGGGGGCUAUGUGAUGUGUGAGGACAGCGGGCAUAUGGAAAAUCUGUAUCUUCCUAAUUUCGUUGUAAACCUAAAAUAUGCACUGAAAAAAAAAAGACUUUAUUAAAAUAAUGGAAGGAUAAGCUGAAUAUAAAAUUAAAAUGUAUUUUUAAAAAUCAUAUUUUAAAAUCAUAAAUCUGUGUUUGGGGAAGAGGGUGGUAAGAGAAUUGAAAAUAUACAGAAAGCACAGAAACAAUAUAUUUGUGAGAAUAUGCCCACUCUCCACAGCUGGCUCCCAUCUUAUCUUUCAUUGGCUCACCUUCUCAUUCUCAUUGUCCCAUGUGCUAAACCUCUCACUGAAAUUAAAAUGUGCUAGUCACUUAACAUGCUGUCUCAAUUCUAGCUGGUAUCUCAACCUAUCCCUACACAAUCACCAUGUGGUUAAUUGGGGCCUUCAUUAAUUGGAAUUCAAAUCAGGCAUGGACAGGGCAUCUGGAUGGCUCAGUGGGUUAAGCAUCUGACUCUUGAUUUCCGCUGUGCUGGGUGUGGAGCCUGCUUAAGAUUCUCUCACUCCCUCUCCCUCUGCGUCGCUCCCUCUGCGUCACCCUCUCUCCCUAAGAAACAACAAAAACAAAACAACCAGGCAUGGACAUACCCUGACAGCGGGAUACCUACUAUCCUUAAAAAAAGAAAAAGAACAAACUUUAUCAAAGUUCACACUCAAUAACGCACUAAAUGCCAAUUUUCUGACAGCAAUCUCUAACAAAUGAUUUUUAUAGUAGAGUGUUUCCAUAGGAAAUGAUAAAGUAGACUUCGGUUCAAUCCACACUUACUUUCCCUGGUUCCCAUCCAAUAAUAGAAUCAAAUUAGUACACAGAGUGUAAAUCAGAGAUUCUCGAGUUCACUUACUGAUUUUAUACUUAAGAAUUAUGUCAUCUUGAAAAGCAGCACAUUAUUUACCUCGUUUGAACAGUAUUUCCUAACUUACUCUAAGAUAAAGUCAUAUUUGUAAUUCAUCUCAAAUGGUUCUUAAACUCACUAAAAGGAGGAAAAAGGUACGCAAAUUAUUUAGAUCAUUACUUAGAGCUUGCUAAAUGCUCCUAAAAGAGAUGACUUUUUACUCCACAUUAUAUUUUUAUAUAAUAAUAUUUGAAGCAAAAAUAUUAUAGAGCGUGUGUGUGUGUGUGUGUGUGUGUGUGUGUAUGCUUGUUUGUUUAAGAGUCAAGUUGUUCAUCAAACAGCAUUUAUAACUACUAAGUAUUUGACAGAAGCAUAAGGGUCAAUGGGGCAUGUGGUAAAACUAUGAUAGUUUUCAAUAAAGCUCUACCUUUAGAAGUAAGAUCUGAAAACAGUUAUGAGGCCCUUUUAUACACUUGCCUCACACUUUCUUGUGCAGAGUACACUCGUUAAAUAUUUAUUGACUUGAUGUGACAUUUUAAGAAUUAAUGAAAUACGGUAGUGGAACAUAGGUGAAAUGAAUUGUGUCCAUUUCAUUUCCAUUCAUGCAAUCAACAAAUACUGAUGGCCUGACGUUGCAUUAAUUGCUAUGAUACAAACAUGAAUGUGGCUCUUACUUUGGUCUCGAGGAAUUCUCAGGCAAGGGAGAAAUGGAAACAUUAAAUAAAAUAUUGCAG